rnacentral:lncRNA from 1 species
UCCAAUGUAUUAAGUUUCAUCUAAAAAUCAUGAAAAAUGAAUGAGUUAUGUUCUUGGGAAGUUGACCCAAAAUUAGGGUUUCAGUCAAAAUGACCUAUAAUGUCUUGGAAUGGAUGAUGACCUUCCAAGCUUCAAAUCAUUUUUUGAUGAACAUGAAAGUUGUUCAUAUUGUCCUUAAUAACAUUGUUUCUCUUGGGGUCAUAUCCAUUUGACCAAUAC